CGUAGGCUUUCAGCGUGCGCUGACAGAGUGCAGAACGUACGCAAUCAUCUUUGUUAAAGCGUACGAUACCAAUCAUCUCGUCUUCCUCAAAACGCGCCAGUGCAUCGCUCAGACCCGACUUCACGCCGGAAGGCAAGUCACACUGGGUAAUAUCACCAUUGACGAUGACGGUCACGUUUUCCCCGAGGCGCGUU
rnacentral:antisense_RNA from 18 species